UUCACACCUGAAUCCUGCGUAGUCACAAAUGCUACGGCACUUCUUGAUUCACAGCAAUUCCCAAUUUUUGGACUACUCCAAAUACUCUUUCGCCACCGGUGACCGACCUGAAGGAGUGAUCAUCGGGAAAGGAGGAAGAUUUGGAGGAGAAAGAGGUGUGCAGGCAGAAAGAGGAACAGAGAAUGAAGAACCGAAGAGGAAGAAUAAUGGCUGAUUUUGUAAGAAUUUUGAUGAUAGAUUUGGUAGUUAUUCUUUUAUAAAGGGCAAAAUUGGACAAAAAUUCGAGUAACGGUCAAAACUCGCCGAGGAAUAUUUUGGUCGGCCUUUUCUCAUGGGGUUUCUUCGUGGUCAACUGUUGCGUUUCCCACAGACGGCGCCAAUGAUGAUGCCAAAAAAUCGUACCUGACAUAUCACGAACUUGUUGCUUGAAUACCGAGCCCGAGGACCGAGUAAGAGCACGAACAAGGGCUUCCGGUACCUGAAACAAAGGCAACGAGGUGUGUGCUCGUCGCCCCUCCGAUGCUUAAGUCAGAGAGGGAAAUUGUGUAAAAGUAUGUGCUGUAAUUGUAUUGUAAAGACAUACCUGAAUAAUGGAGCUGAGUCCUGUAUUUAUAGAUGUCAGUGGUUGAGUUGUAUCAGGAUUCAACCACCUGUAAUCUUUAUCUUGUACAGUGAUUGAGUUAUAUCACAAUUACCACUUUAGGUUUGGCAUGAAUUGUAAUACGUUUAGUAUUUAGAUAAUGAUAAACAGUUGAGUCA